rnacentral:misc_RNA from 1 species
UCCGGUUUGUCACCGGCAGUCUCGUUAAAGUGCCCAACUAAAUGAUGGCAAUUAACGACAAGGGUUGCGCUCGUUGCGGGACUUAACCCAACAUCUCACGACACGAGCUGACGACAGCCAUGCAGCACCUGUGUUCCCGUUCCCUUUCGGGCACAGCCCCAUCUCUGGAGCCUCCAGGACAUGUCAAGGGUAGGUAAGGUUUUUCGCGUUGCAUCGAAUUAAUCCACAUAAUCCACCGCUUGUGCGGGUCCCCGUCAAUUCCUUUGAGUUUUAACCUUGCGGCCGUACUCCCCAGGCGGCUCACUUCACGCGUUAGCUACGGUACGGAAUCCGUUGAGUGAAUCCCACACCUAGUGCCCACCGUUUACGGCGUGGACUAC